rnacentral:lncRNA from 1 species
UGAUGGUUACGAAUUUCCCAACUCCCUGAAUGCUCUGAUUUUUUUUUUUUUUUUUUUUUUUUUGAGAUAGAAUCUCACUCUGUUGCCCAGCCUGGAGCGCAGUGGCGUGAUCUUGGCUCACUGCAACCUCUGCCUUCGGGGUUCAAGCAAUUCUCCUGCCUCAGCCUCCCAAAUAGCUGGGAUUACAGGCAUUCACCACCACACCCAGCUAAUUUUUGUAUUUUUAGUACAGAUGGGGUUUUGCCAUGUUGUCCAGGCUGGUCUUGAACUCCUGGCCUCAAGUGGUCCCGAACUUGGGUUCUCAUGGAUUUCUCUGAUGGAGAUUCCUGGGGCUUCCAGCAAAACCACUGGGACUCGGAAGUACCCUGCAGAGAUUUCUUGGCUUUGGACUCCUCAAUUUCUGGGUUGGUAAGGUUGGGCAGAAGUAGUAGUUCUGGUCUGAGAGUCUGUAGACUGAUGUUAGUAGCAACCUGCCACUGUUCCCUUUGUGAUCUCAGGCAGGUCUCUUCACAGAUCUGAUUUCUUUUAUCUUCCUUCCUUCCUUCCUUCCUUCCUUCCUUCCUUCCUUCCUUCCUUCCUUCCUUCCUUCCUUUUCUUUCUUUCUCUUUCUUUUUUUUUUGUUUGUUUGAGAUGAAGUUUCGCUCUUGUUGCCCAGGCUGGAGUGCAAUAGUGCGAUCUUGGCUCACCACAACCUCCGCCUCCCGGAUUCAAAUGAUUCUCCUGCCUCAGCCUCCCGAGUAGCUGGGAUUUCAGGCGUGCACCACCAUGCCUGGCUAAUUUUGUAUUUUU